AACGUAGGAGGCGAGCGUUAUCCGGAAUUACUGGGCGUAAAGCGCGUGCAGGCGGUUCGGUUAGUUGGAUGUGAAAGCUCCUGGCUUAACUGGGAGAGGUCGUUCAAUACUGCCGAACUUGAGAGUGGUAGAGGGAGAUGGAAUUCCGCAUGUAGUGGUGAAAUGCGUAGAUAUGCGGAGGAACACCAGUGGCGAAAGCGGUCUCCUGGCCCACUUCUGACGCUCAGACGCGAAAGCUAGGGUAGCAAACGGG
rnacentral:rRNA from 1 species